rnacentral:rRNA from 1 species
GUGGGGAAUCUUAGACAAUGGGGGCAACCCUGAUCUAGCCAUGCCGCGUGAGUGAUGAAGGCCUUAGGGUUGUAAAGCUCUUUCAGUGGGGAAGAUAAUGACGGUACCCACAGAAGAAGCCCCGGCUAACUCCGUGCCAGCAGCCGCGGUAAUACGGAGGGGGCUAUCGUUGUUCGGAAUUACUGGGCGUAAAGCGCACGUAGGCGGAUCGGAAAGUUGGGGGUGAAAUCCCAGGGCUCAACCCUGGAACUGCCUUCAAAACUAUCGGUCUGGAGUCCGAGAGAGGUGAGUGGAAUUCCGAGUGUAGAGGUGAAAGUCGUAGAUAUUCGGAGGAACACCAGUGGCGAAGGCGGCUCACUGGCUCGGUACUGACGCUGAGGUGCGAAAGCGUGGGGAGCAAACAGGAUUAGAUACCCCUGUAGUC